rnacentral:tRNA from 1 species
AUAAAGAUAAGCUAAAAAUUUAAGCUAAUGGGCUCAUACCUCAUCUAUGAGAAAAAUCUCUCUUUAUA